GGUCCCCUGUUUCAGUGAAGCACUUUCGGUGACAGCAGAGGCCAGCCCAAAUGUCCGAAGUGAAGGUGGUUAUUGCACUGGUUGGUUCCGACAGUAAAGGCAUUUGAAAGCCUUUUUACGGUGCAUGCGAUAGACUUACUCCUGCAUCCAUGGUGCACGGUUAGACCUAGAAACGUGUACCUGCGACGAGCAUAUGUGGAAAUGCACUUCCGAGGACCAGGAUAACUCAAGACUGCAAUUCUAUUCAGACGGAACAUAAAGGGAAAGAGGGAUAGAAACAUCAGUGAUGAGAGAGCAUUAUUGAUCGGCUGCCUCCUCCAUGCCCCACAGUAGGGAUCAAGCCUGUAACCCAGGCAUGAGCCCUGACUGGGAAUUGAACCAUGACCUCCUGGUUCACAGGUCGGCACUCAAACCACCCAGACACAUGGCCGGGAAGGACAAGGGAGAAGAUGUUGGCAAUCCAUACGACUUUCAGAGGAUUUGUAUCUAGGAUAUGUGAAGAACUAUGUAUCAGGUUAGAAAAGGCAAACAAGUUAAUGGAAAAUGGACAAAAGACUCAAACAGCAGAGGAAACACAAAUGGCCAAUAAGCACAUGAAAAGAUGUUCAACCUCAUCAGUAAGGGGAAAUGCAGGUGUGGAUCGCAGUACCACUAUUUUACACCCGGUAGUGGGUUGGUAAAAUUUAAAAGACUGACGGUAUCAAGUGUUGGAGAGGUUGUGGGUCAGCAGAAUCCUUAAACGUUGCCAGUGGGAGCGGCUUCAUUUGCAACCACUUUGGAAAACACUUGUCUCAAAAUUGAAUAUGUGUGUACCUCACUAGAGAGAGAUCCUAAACACGCACCUGGGGAAAAGACUUCCGCGUGUGAUCAGGAGACAGACAGCAGCCGUGUGCAAUGGCCGUGUUCCCAAUAUCCAACUACCCAUUUACUGGGGAAAGAGGAAACGCGUCGGGCUAAAUCCACGCACUGUACACAUUAUGAAAUGGUGACUGACAGUCAGUGACUCAACUGUGGCAACGCCCAACAAGGGUGAGUCUUGGAAAUAAAAUUUUGGCUGAAACACAAGCCAUUUGGUAGAGCCUAGAAACAAGGAAAAGUAAGCACAAGAAAGUAGGCACACAUACACCUACAACAUAUGUAUUUAUUAUUAUGUCUACAUAUAUAGUUUAUUGUGUGUACACAUGCACUAGUAUAUAUGUACACAUACAUAUACAGACAUCUGCACACAUAAUGCAUUCACAAGUAAGGGAGUGAUCAGCAGUUUCAGGGGGAGACCUCCUCCAGCAGGCAGACAGUGGGGGACUGGGUGGGGGAAGAGCCUGCAGACCAAAGUUACUGAAGACAGCCUCAGUCCUGAGCAGGCAGAGGUCACAUGUGAUGCUUCGUAAGUUACGUAUAUUUACAUAUAACCUUUCGGUAAGUCAAGUAGCAUAGUACAUAUAUUUUAAAAAGUAAAUUUUAAAAGAAGAAGAAAGAUUGGCAAGACAAACAUCAGGCAGGGGGAAGUCCCCCUUGAUAAGUUGUCAAGACUGGUAACACUGUAGUCUUGGCAUAAGAACUAAACAGUGUGCGGGAACAUGGGGGUUUGGCUCACUGAGCAGAUGGGCUGUUUGCCGUCUCGAGCUGGUUGGCCAAAGCCCUGUGCUCCACAUUCUCCUCAUCCAAGACCCAGAGAGACUCCGUAAGGCCUCGUGCACCGGUGCGUGCUCAGGGAGGGGGCUUAUUUGGGUGGCAGAACGCCCCAGAGAGAUGGCCUCCGAACCACUGCCUAGGGCAGUGAUGGCGAACCUUUUGAGCUCGGCGUGUCAGCAUUUUGAAAAACCAUAACUUAACUCUGGUGCCGUGUCACAUACAGAAAUUUUUUGAUAUUUGCAACCAUAGUAAAACAAAGACUUAUAUUUUUGAUAUUUAUUUUAUAUAUUUAAAUGCCAUGUAACAAAGAAAAAUCAACCAAAAAAAUGAGUUCGCGUGUCACCUCUGACAUGUGUGUCAUAGGUUCGCCAUCACUGGCCUAGGGCCUGGCAUCCCCCUACCCCCUGUGCCUCUGAGGCCUGUGUGCCCGGUGCUCCUGGGGGUCCCGUGAUCCUCCCAGCACCCCUCCAGGAGCCCCACUCUGCUCAAGGCAAGCAGUGGAGGGAACUGGAGCACGUGAGAGAAGCAAGUCUCUUCUCGGGGGAAGGUUCAAGUGACAAAAAAGUCUCGGGGAAGAAUCUCAUGUUUGUCAUUGUCCCCUAGGGGGUACUGGCCGGGGAGAACUCAUCAGUGAGGGUGUGGGGUCACUGCAGCCCAUUUGGAUCCAGGCCAGGACACAGCGUGGGGGGAGGGGGGACGGAGAACAUGAGGGCCUGGAGGGGGUCCGGGUGGCUGAGCUGGCGCAGGCCCAGAGCAGGUCCCAGACUCCCUUAUGUCCAGGGUCCAGGACCUCAGGAAAACCCAGGCACACAUUCCAGAAGGAUGAGAGCAUCAUAGUCUAUGCGGGUUUGUCUGAAUGGCAGACAUGCAUAAGCCCAGCUCGUCUUGCUUUCUAGAAUUCCACUUCUAUUUUUGGUGGAAUAUAAAAGCUUCGACUAUUUCCCAAAAUGGAAGAACAUAUUUUUUCCUUGACUGCCUUAUAGUAUCUUGGUUGCCCAUUCAGUCUGUGGGUGCGGGGUGAGGCCCCCUGUCCCGGUUCCCGGAGCAGGAGCUGGCUGAGUGCACCACGACGGCUUUCCCGAGCCCAACGUGUAUUUCAUUUCGGUGUUUCAUGAUCAGCAUUUAAUCCAUAUUCCACAGGCGGCUUUGCAGGAGGGCAGCAGGCAUGCCCACCAUCCUGUAACGGGGUGCCAGGGCAGCUUCUCGGCGAGGAUUCCAGGCCUCAGGUCACAGCCUGUCCCCCAGGAGGAAGGGAGAAGAGGAGGGGGAACUGGGACAGUCCGCCCUCUCACUGCAUUGCCCUAAGCACGUGGGUGGCGGGCACUGGGCACUCAUGUUAUGAGUGGAGAUAGUUUAACAGGCUGUUUCAAGAAACUCUCAGCACCCAUCAGGCUGGUAAGUGUAAGUGAAGGUGCCCAGCUUGGCUCACUCCCAUUAGCGUGUCAGCCUCCAUCACAACCGGUUGAUUGACGGAAGGAUCUGAGCUUAGUUAUUUAAAAAAACCUUUCUAGAAAGUAACAGAAACUUGCUAACAUCCUAUCUAAUAAAGAGGGAAUAUGCUAAUUGACCCUCAUGCCAUCACAAAGAUGGUGGCGCCCAUAGCCAAUAAGGAGGGAAUAUGCUAAUUGACUGCCCCACCCUCAAAGAUGGUGGCGCCCACAGCCAAUAAGGAGGGAAUAUGCUAAUUGACUGCCUUGCCCUCAAAGAUGGCAGCGCCCACAGCCAAUAAGGAGGGAAUAUGCUAAUUGACUGCCAUGCCCUCAAAGAUGGAGGUGCCCACAGCCACAAGAUGGCUAGCAGGGGAGGGCAGUUGUGGGCAAUCAGGCCAACAGAGGAGGGCAGUUGGGGGGGACCAGGCCGGCA